rnacentral:rRNA from 1 species
GACGUAGGGGGCCAGCGUUGUUCGGAAUUACUGGGUGUAAAGGGUUCGUAGGCGGUGUGGCAAGUCGGGAGGGAAAUUUCUGGGCUCAACUCAGAGACUGCUUCCGAAACUGCUGUGCUUGAGUGUGGGAGAGGCGCGUGGAAUUGCAGGUGUAGCGGUGAAAUGCGUAGAUAUCUGCAGGAACACCCGUGGCGAAAGCGGCGCGCUGGACCACUACUGACGCUGAGGAACGAAAGCUAGGGGAGCAAACAGG